rnacentral:rRNA from 1 species
UACAGAGGUCUCAAGCGUUGUUCGGAUUCAUUGGGCGUAAAGGGUGCGUAGGCGGCGCGGUAAGUCGGGUGUGAAAUCUCGGAGCUUAACUCCGAAACUGCAUUCGAUACUGCCGUGCUUGAGGACUGGAGAGGAGAGUGGAAUUCCUGGUGUAGCGGUGAAAUGCGCAGAUAUCAGAAAGAACACCAAUGGCGAAAGCAGCUCUCUGGGACGGUACUGACGCUGAGACGCGAAAGCGUGGGGAGCGAACAGG